rnacentral:rRNA from 1 species
UACGGGGGGAGCAAGCGUUGUUCGGAUUUACUGGGCGUAAAGGGCGCGUAGGCGGUCGUGACAAGUCACUUGUGAAAUCUCCGGGCUUAACUCGGAACGGUCAAGUGAUACUGUCGGACUAGAGUACAGAAGGGGCAACUGGAAUUCCUGGUGUAGCGGUGAAAUGCGCAGAUAUCAGGAGGAACACCGGUGGCGAAGGCGGUUCUCUGGGCAUUACCUGACGCUGAGGAGCGAAAGUGUGGGGAGCGAACAGG